UACGGGAGGCAGCAGUGGGGAAUAUUGCACAAUGGGCGCAAGCCUGAUGCAGCCAUGCCGCGUGUAUGAAGAAGGCCUUCGGGUUGUAAAGUACUUUCAGUCGUGAGGAAGGUGUUAAGGUUAAUAACCUUAGCAAUUGACGUUAGCGACAGAAGAAGCACCGGCUAACUCCGUGCCAGCAGCCGCGGUAAUACGGAGGGUGCGAGCGUUAAUCGGAAUUACUGGGCGUAAAGGGCACGCAGGCGGUUAAUUAAGUUGGAUGUGAAAUCCCCGGGCUUAACCUGGGAAUGGCAUUCAAGCUGGUUAGCUAGAGUCUUGUAGAGGGGGUAGAAUUCCAUGUGUAGCGGUGAAAUGCGUAGAGAUGUGGAGGAAUACCGGUGGCGAAGGCGGCCCCUGGACAAGACUGACGCUCAUGUGCGAAAGCGUGGGGAGCAAACGAGGGAUUAGAUACC
rnacentral:rRNA from 1 species